rnacentral:rRNA from 1 species
GUAGGUGGCAAGCGUUGUCCGGAAUUAUUGGGCGUAAAGCGCGCGCAGGCGGUUCUUUAAGUCUGAUGUGAAACGCCCACGGCUCAACCGUGGAGGGUCAUUGGAAACUGGAGAACUUGAGUACAGAAGAGGAAAGCGGAAUUCCACGUGUAGCGGUGAAAUGCGUAGAGAUGUGGAGGAACACCAGUGGCGAAGGCGGCUUUCUGGUCUGUAACUGACGCUGAGGCGCGAAAGCGUGGGGAGCAAACAGGAUUAGAUACCCUGGUAGUCCACGCCGUAAACGAUGAGUGCUAAGUGUUAGGGGGUUUCCCGCCCCUUAGUGCUGCAGCUAACGCAUUAAGCACUCCGCCUGGGGAGUACGGCCGCAAGGCUG